rnacentral:rRNA from 2 species
UGAGGAAUAUUGGUCAAUGGGCGCAAGCCUGAACCAGCCAUCCCGCGUGCAGGAAGACGGCGCUAUGCGUUGUAAACUGCUUUUCCAGGGAGAGAAACUUGCGCACGUGUUGCGCAAUUGACGGUACCCUGGGAAUAAGCAUCGGCUAACUCCGUGCCAGCAGCCGCGGUAAUACGGAGGAUGCGAGCGUUAUCCGGAUUCAUUGGGUUUAAAGGGUGCGUAGGCGGACUAUUAAGUCAGUGGUGAAAUCCUGCAGCUUAACUGCAGGACUGCCAUUGAUACUGAUAGACUUGUGUUUGGUUAAGGUAGGCGGAAUGUGUAAUGUGGCGGUGAAAUGCUUAGAUAUUACACAGAACACCAAUUGCGUAGGCAGCUUACCAAGCUAUUAUUGCCGCUGAGGCACGAAAGCGUGGGGAUCGAACAGG